rnacentral:rRNA from 1 species
UACGUAGGAUACGAGCGUUGUCCGGAGUUACUGGGCGUAAAGGGUGCGCAGGCGGCCCUGCGCGUCGCGAGUGAAAUCUCCCGGCUCAACUGGGAGGGUGGUCGCGAGACGGCAGGGCUUGAGGCUCGGUGAGGGGCGUGGAAUUCCGGGUGGAGCGGUGAAAUGCGUAGAGAUCCGGAGGAACACCAACGGCGUAGGCAGCGCCCUAGACGAGACCUGACGCUCAGGCACGAAAGCGCGGGGAGCGAACAGG